rnacentral:lncRNA from 1 species
ACAGUCAUUACUGUACCCUCCCGGCAGCCUCCGGCAGAACACGCAGCAGCAGCAGCAGUUAGCGCUGAUGCAACUAUCGUUGCUGUUGCCACCGCCUCCCCACUGACGGGGCGUGCACCUGGGGGGUACUUGCAGUUUCCAGGGGCAACAAGCAUCUCUCUACCACCCUCUCCUGCGCCCCUGAGAGAGGCUGGCUCCAAGCUUGAUAUAGAAGACUAUCAUAUGAACCAGAAAGGGUAACUGAAACCAAAGAAAUGACUCCAGUAUCAAGCUAAAGACAUGCCUUAAAGGAUGAGGAGGAGCAGAAAUCUUACCAGCAAGGCAAGAAAGAAGCCGUACGUGAACAGCCUCUGCUUUAGGCCCAGAAGGAAAAGAAGCUUACAGGAGACAAUCAGUCUUACACUCUUCCAUGGUCACAAACAAGAGGUCCCUGGAUCUACAGGUCAUCUUGCCCCUGAAAUGGCCCUGGAAAGCUAUGGCUGAAGAAUGGAGGAAAAGAUGACUUUCUCUGUUUCUUCAGACCAGGCAUCAACUGGGAUGUUGGGAUGUUGAUAAAAGGACAUCUCAUCCUUUGUUUUCUGCCUAUGCUUUCACCAUACCCAUUCCCAUGUCUGGUCAUCACAGCAUCCUUCACAGCCCUUAGCUGAAUCAUGUUGAGUACAGGAUGGUGUGAAUAUCAUGGUUUGAAUGCAACCAUGGUCUGUCAGUGUGGCUUGUUUUUUGCAGCCCACUUAGACUUAAGCCCUCUUAAUUUCAAAAUUACGUUCAUAUGUGCCAAUAAAGUUGUCCCUACAUGAACUGAAAAA